CAUUAGGAAGCUAAAUACGGGAACGCAGCCUUAGCCUUUUAAGCUAAAGAUUGGUGGCUCCCAACCACCCCUAGUGA
rnacentral:tRNA from 1 species